GGUUUUCAUAGUUUUAAGGAUUUGUUUGGCAUAGAUUAAGAGGUGUUAUUGAGGGGAUAGGACAGGGUGUCUCUGUUAAUCUGUUUGGCAAUUUGGAUACUGGGUAAAUAAAAUUAAUAUUUUGGUAGAAUGUUUGGGUUUUGUUAGUUUAUUUUUUUAUGAAUUUGUGUGCCUGCAGCUGUAGUGUCUCUGCUGCAAGUCUCAGUAUCCAUUCAUGUUUGUGUGCAUCAGGCAGUCCACUCGUGUACCAGCGAGACCCCCCUGCAAGCGGCCGCAGAGCCGCUCCUUCGCUCUCCUGGGAAUUCGGGGAGCGGCACACGGCUCUGCGACGAAGCCUUGAUCUUUGUCACUUGGAGGUGGCACCAGGGAGCCUCAGGAGCGGCCGAGGAGUUGCUGCAGACCCUGCCAGGAGAGCGUGGGCGAAGCGUGCGGCCCGAGGAGCCCGGCGUUCUCAAGAGAAUAAUGCUGAGCACGGGACCACAGCCCGGUGACCAAAGGACAUUCCCCGCAGGCGAGGCAGCCUCCAUUGCCACGCGACGUGGAUUCUCAUCCCCAGAUGCCAGAGAGAUAAGUGGAGGGCUAAGGCCCGCAGAGGGGGUGAAAGCGGGGUGCUGGGAGGGCCUUUAGGAUCAGCUUUGGGGGCAGGGAUGUGCAAGAAGUGUCCCCUUAGGCCAGCUAAAGGCAAAGUGACUGUUUUGAUCUCAGUGCUGAGGUGCUCAGGGCAGAGCAGUUUUGGUGUGUGUCCUGUCACUUGUCUCUGGUGCACUCUGUGUUCUUUGGGUCUCUCAGUCCUUUCUUCUCCUCAAAAGCUCUCUCUCCCUGUCCUGUCUCCUGGUUUGUCAAAUCCUAUCCUGUGUCACGGGUGUCUGCAUGUAUUUAACCCACAGCUGCUCUGCCCUGCUGCAUAGCCUGUAAUAGCACAUGUCCUGGGGACUUGGAAUUUGUAAUGCAGGGUGUAGUUGGGCUCUAGAUUGGAUUAGGAGAUUGACAUAACAUGUUUGGUGCUGUUAAGUUGUCCUGCAGCUGUUUGACACUAGUCCUAACAUCCUUUCAGAUGCAGACAGUCCAAAUCUGUGGCAGAGAGCCCCAGUCCUGAGUGAGGGUGUUGCCAUGAGCAGGUCAGUCAUUGUUUGCAUUUGCAGGGGCAGCCUAAAUGGUGACCGUGUUACAGCAGUGUUCUUUGCCUCUAUUUUUAGGAGGUCCAUGCAGAUAGCAGCAGUCAAGGCCCUGUGUGCCAGGUGAGCAGUGGACAAAAGCAGUUGUUCUUGCUCAGGUUUCAGGUUUUGGUGCAAUUGUAAGCAUCCAUUGUUGUUUGUGUGCUUUAGGGAAUCCACUCAGAGUAUGCCAAGCCCCUGUCACCAACAGCUGAUGGCCUGGAUUUCCUGUGCUUGUGAGCCCUCUGGAAGUAUUGCAGGACUCCGAGGUGAAGCCUUGAAAUUCUGUAUUUCAAGAUGGCAUCCAGGUAGCCUUUGGCAAUGGCUGAGGAGUUGU
rnacentral:lncRNA from 1 species